rnacentral:lncRNA from 1 species
CUAGCGCCUUUGAUGACAUAUACCGAUUGCUCAGAUAGACGCUGAAACGAGAAACUUCACAAAUUCCUGAGGAUCUUCUGAACAUAACUUCUCUCAAGAGUCAAGACAUGAUGGAACCUGCUCCUUCGGUUCUCAUUUCUGAUUCGACCAGAAAAAAAUGUUCAGAAUUCUUUGGACGAGAUAAUACCUGCACAAUAUGACUCGCUAUACGCUAUCCAAUCAACAGACUUCAGUAUAGCCAAUUUCUCCACACCUUUCAGCUCAGGUUAGAGAUCAACAUUUUUGCAGCGUGCACAUCAACAGCAAACAUCUGCAAGCUGCAAACAGAAUGGUCGCAAAUCAGCAUAAAUUGACUCCUUGGCAGGUGAGGUUGCUUCCCUCGUCUUCUUCAUCUUCAUUCCAACAAGAACUCUUCCGUACUGUCAGUAGAGUUUCCUCGUACCGACGGCUCUGAAUGCCAUUAGGAUGCAGGAUUCUCCAACCUGAAGCCAAGAAACGGUGCCCGUGCGGCCGGGCGCAUCCGAUUCAUCAAUCCUACCCCGCGCCGGUGCGGGCCCUUUAGCAUCCAUGAAUUUCAUCUCCGUGGCACGCACGGCCGGAGUCGCCGUCCCAUUCGCACGGUCGCCCUCUCCGAUCGCCAUCACGCCUGGACCUCGCGGCGGGGAAGCUUCUGAUUUGGUUUCUGGGUUGAGGGGCAUGGACGCGGUGUGCAAGCUGAGGCGGGUUUCUGGUGUGGACGAAGCCAUUCUGAGGUCGUGGCGAGACCGCGAGACGGGCUCUGGUCAGCGAUCCGGAGCCGCCAUGGCCAUCGCGGACAGAGAGCUUGCUCGUCUCCGGUGACUGAGACAGAUUUUAUAAAAUCCCCCUUCGUUUCGAUCGCGAGAUCGCGGUUAAUAGUCGCGAUCCAAUAUUUUACAUGAACGAUCGCGAUUGAUAGUCGCGAUCCAUUAUUUUACGUAGAACCCCCUAAUCGCGAUCCGAUUGUUUACAUAAAACUCCCUGAAAGGGUAUGAUAAUAUACGAAAUAGUCCCCCCCCCCCCCCCCCCCCCCCCCCCCCCCCCCCCCACUCUCUCGUCCGGCGACGGCGACGGCAGCCUCGUCGCGGCGAAUAGAGUCCCGCUCCUCCUCCGUCUCUCCCUCCCCCUUCUCAGACUGGUUUCCGCCACCGCGCCCCGCUCCUACUCGUCUCUCACCAUGGAUUUCAACGUGGCCAACCCCCCUCAAAAAGAGUAUAGGGUCGACGGGAAUGAGAAAGAAAUGGAUCGUGUGCGUUGGGGGCGGAUGGGAGGAUCACGAGUAGAGGAAAUGGGGAUUAGAUCGGAGUGCGGCUUCCCGGCCAGACCCAUCUAGGCUCUCUCUCCCCUCCAUUGGUUUCCCCUCGCUUGCUUGUGCGACCGGCGCAAUAACCGGAGGCUUGCUUCUUCUGCGGCGGCUACGACGACGGAAGUGAUCCAAUGUUAUUGCUGUCACUGCUUGCUUAUGAAUUUGACCUAGUACUUUAAAGAUGUUACUUUGCCCCUUUCUAUUUGUCCGCAUCAAGGCACGAACCAUGAUUUAUCCGCUUCAAUCACUUUCUGCUCGAGUCCUAUAACUAACAGUUCUUCUGUUCAUACAAAUGUAAUUGUUUAAUCUGAUAUUAUCGAAUAUGCUAGUAGCCUAGCGUAAAGUUUUCUUUUCUUUCCUUGACGUUAUAGUACUACAGAGUACAGACUGAUCAUGCAAUUCAUGAACUGGGACUAACUAAACACACUCCUCCCUUCGGAAAUUAAAAAAAAAUUGAAUCCUAGGCAGCAGACAACGUCUGGAAAGUUUUCUGAAGAGAUGAUGGAAAUUGUAGUUCCCUUGCAGAAGGUGACUCAAAUACCAAAUCAACAAAUUUCAGUAGUCAAUUUCUCGAUAACUUGCAGAUCAGGUUACAUAUCAACUUUUUGCAGUAUCCACAUUGAUAACAGUAGAAUGAUUUACAACUCAGCAUAAUUUAUUUCAUAUAAAUUUGAACUUAACUGAACUUAACAUCAGGAAACCAAUGCCUUGCUUGGUGCUGCUCAUCUCCUAUUCACCUCAGCACAUCUCAGAAGAUGAUCCUCCCUGCCUUGAGGAGGCUUGAAGGUGUCGCCCCAUCUUAGCAGCAAGGGUAGACGGCGAUGCAGUGCCUGCGUCGGGGAGGUUUGCACUUCAUCAGCAGCAGGCCAGCAGCAUGGCAAGGACGAUGGUGACGAGCAGCCCCAGCAGGUUGAAUGCUGGCUAAUCAUCUCCCUGGCUGCAACACAGCUUGCCCAUGUUAGCUGUUAGAGGGGGAGGAGAUUAGUUCUUGGUACAAUGAGGAUUAAGGAGAGCAGGGACAUGGUUAAAGGCUUCUUUCUUGGCUUGCAAUUUCUUUAUGGCAACGACUCUGGAUACAGGUCAGUCUUUCUAGUAUAUUACCAUAACUAGCCUUGGACAGCUGUGUUGUAGGAUAAAUAUACUACUGCUACUAUUUGCUAGUUGUUGACUUCUUGGUUUAAAUAAACAUAAAUUUAUAUUUGCAAUUAAUUUACUGAUUAUUUUUUCUUUCACUGCCGGGGAAAUAUCAAAAUUAGGUGAUCUUUUUUUAUCUGGAUGUGUGCAUGGAAACUUUGGAUAUUCUGUAUGAGACUCUCUUUACUUUUUAACUCUCCUUGCUCACUUGCUGCUUCAACUCUUGUAUGCAUGCUGCAUUCCUAUUGCACAUAUUUUGGAAAGAGCUGCCACCAAAUUAAUGCCUGGCACGAAAUUGUUUCAAUCCUUUCCAGGUUGCUGCAUAUGCUAUAUCAGUUCCUAAGCAGACACGGGAGUUUCCAAUACUUCCUUGGAGUAAGCAACUCCAGUUUAUUUAUGCAUGAUUUAUUUUUUUCUAUCCAUAAUCCAUUUGGAAGAAAAUGAACAACAUUAAUUGUAGCUUAGGUUUAGAUUAUUUCUUUGUAUCUAGUGCAUCAAAGAGUAUUGAGUUAUUGCUACCUCAAUCAACACCAGCUGUUCAUGUAGUACUAAUUUAUGAACAAGACGUAUUUGAUGGAUUAUCAGGCCUAUGAGGUUACACAUUAAAACAACUGCAUUUUGCAUCAGGUUUGCUACAUCAU